UACAGAGGGUGCGAGCGUUAAUCGGAAUUACUGGGCGUAAAGCGUGCGUAGACGGUUAUUUAAGUCGGAUGUGAAAGCCCCGGGCUCAACCUGGGAAUUGCAUUCGAGACUGAAUAGCUAGGGUACGGUAGAGGGAAGCGGAAUUUCCGGUGUAGCGGUGAAAUGCUUAGAUAUCGUCAAGAACACCUAUUGCGAAGGCAGCUAACUAAGCUUUAACUGACGCUGAGGCACGAAAGUGUGGGGAUCAAACAGG
rnacentral:rRNA from 1 species